AUUAUUUUGACAGAAAUUAUGUAUUAAAUUUAGAAUUUAAAAAUGUGUAAGUAAAUUAUGCAAGUAAUU
rnacentral:tRNA from 1 species